GCACCUGUCUGAUUGGUCAGAAUGGAGCUGCUCUGAUUGGUUGGUGAAGAUGUGGGUAGCGAUAUAGUUGCAUAACUCUGAUUGGAUGGUGAAAACCUCAGUCCUAUUGGUUGAAAUAGGAUUCCAGAAACUCCUUUAUAAGGGCUGGCUGAGAUAGCAGAAACACAGUGCAUGCAGGCCCUUGUGCAGUGGCA